rnacentral:tRNA from 1 species
CUCUGAAUAGCAUAGUGGUAUUGCGCCGGACUGUAACCUGUUAACUGUCUACACCUCCCUUCCAAAUGGAAGAACGUCAUCCGUAGGUCCCCUGUUCGAAUCAGGGUUCAGAGA